UUUUUUCGCUGUGUCUAAAGGUACGUCGGACGUACCCGAAUCCCAAAAGCUGAAGGUACGUCGGACGUACCCGCAACCGGGUGUCUAAAGAUACGUCGGCCGUCGCGCUUUCUCGCUACAUUGCACUUAAUCCAGUUCGAGUUGUCCAUCCGUUUCACAUGACACACAAUGCAGCGAUUUUCAGGCUGCAAAUUCGCUCGCAACGAAAUAAA
rnacentral:lncRNA from 1 species